rnacentral:rRNA from 1 species
GCCAGACUCCUACGGGAGGCAGCAGUGGGGAAUAUUGGGCAAUGGGCGCAAGCCUGACCCAGCAACGCCGCGUGAAGGAAGAAGGCUUUCGGGUUGUAAACUUCUUUUCUCAGGGACGAAGCAAGUGACGGUACCCCUUGAAUAAGCCACGGCUAACUACGUGCCAGCAGCCGCGGUAAUACGUAGGUGGCAAGCGUUGUCCGGAUUUACUGGGUGUAAAGGGCGUGCAGCCGGAGAGGCAAGUCAGAUGUGAAAUCCGCAGGCUCAACCUGCGAACUGCAUUUGAAACUGUUUCCCUUGAGUAUCGGAGAGGUCAUCGGAAUUCCUAGUGUAGCGGUGAAAUGCGUAGAUAUUAGGAAGAACACCAGUGGCGAAGGCGGAUGACUGGACGACAACUGAUGGUGAGGCGCGAAAGCGUGGGGAGCAAACAGGAUUAGAUACCCGAGUA